UGGCCGACUUGAGAAAAUAAAGUAUAUCCAUACUCUUCACUCUCCCUUUAGAGUGAGAUAAAUCGUGUUUGUGGUUAAGUGUCAAAAUUAAUUGUGUAAAUAUAUAAAAGAAAACUCAACGUGGUGGAAGAUGGGCAACAGGUCUUUGUUUUAGUUUCUGAGGAACAUCAAAGAAAAGGUGCAGGAUAUAUUCUCGGAAUGCAACUAUGCUUGUAAUUAUUGUAUCUAUGAAUAUAAUAUGCAUUCAGAAACAGGGGAAACUGGAUGGAUGGAUCGAGGAUCACAUAAUGUUGCUGGAUAGGUUGAGGGGGUGUGUAUGAUCACCUCCUCCCUACACUUAUGUAUGAUGAUAGUAGAUUAGUUAUGGCAUGAGUAGUUAGUUUAUAUUUAAGUUAUUAUUAUUAAGUUUUAUUUUAAUUAUGAUGGUAGUUAGAUAUGUGCAUGUUAGUUUUUAAGUAUGAAUUUUAAUGAUAAAAAUGCCGCCAUUGCCACGUUACAAGCUCGAUGAUUAUGGCUGAGUGGUCGUGAGGUCAUGAGCAUCGUAAAAAGAAGUGGAUCUGGUGGUAUUAUUGACCUAUUAAUGAAUUUUAAAUCAUUCAACGUGUGGCAAGAGCCCCGCCCUGAACUCUCCCGCUCUACUGAUUAAGCCGGGCAUUUAUUAUGACAAAUAGUGCGAUUAUACACUGACAGAAUUUUUCGAUUUUUUUUUUUUUUUUUUUUUUUGUUGUGAUGAAGAUUAGUCGGAACAUUUUUGGUUGACAAAAAAAAAUUCGUUACGUAGGUAUCUCAGUGGAGGGAAUUUAUACAAAAAAAAUUUUCUUAGUAUCACAGAUGUUUGUUCUUAAAACUAUAUUGCACAUUAAAAUUAAAAAAAAAUGAAAUUGACUAUAAAAGUAAAUACAAAUUUAAAAGACAAAGCUAAAUAAAUAAAAGUAAAUCUCUGAUACUAAAUAAAUACAUAUAAAAUAAUCGGAUAAAUAUCGGACAUGCAAAAAUAUCACAGAAUUGUAUCACAGUUGUAUAUCACAGAUGUAGAGGUGUAAGUUUUACACAAAAAUAAGAGUGAUUCUAACUUCAAAGGAAGUUUAUCACAGAAGUAGGGUUUAUAAAAUAAGAGCACAUAAUUCACGAAGUAGUUUUAUCACAGAAUUCAAGAUAUACUAUAGAGACUUGUCUUAGU